UGCAGUCGAUCUGUUGAAGAUUCAGCUAAAAAAUUUGAGGAAGAAAAGAUUCCAACAUUCAGAAAAACUUGAGAUCCUUCCAAUCUCUUCCUGCGAUAACUUAAGGGAAAUUGUUGCUGCAUUUGACUUGCCACUGCCAGGAAGGAUGAUCAUUAGAGGAUGCCCAAGUUGCAUUUUUUAAUACUGAUCGGUGGAGAAAGUUUGCGAGUUUCCUACUUAAAUUAUUACCAAUUAACUAUCAAAACAUACCUCGAAAUUGAUGAAUCAGCUGCCAUGUGGACGAAAUUUUAU
rnacentral:lncRNA from 1 species